rnacentral:rRNA from 1 species
AUUGAACGCUGGCGGCAUGCUUUACACAUGCAAGUCGAACGGCCGCGGGGAGGAGCUUGCUUCUCUGCCGGCGAGUGGCGAACGGGUGAGUAAUACAUCGGAACGUGUCGAGAAGAGGGGGAUAACCACCCGAAAGGGUGGCUAAUACCGCAUAAAUUCUGAGGCAGAAAGCUGGGGACCUAGGAAUAGGCCUAGCGCUUUUUGAGCGGCCGAUGUCGGAUUAGCUAGUUGGUGAGGUAAAGGCUCACCAAGGCGAAGAUCUGUAGCGGGUCUGAGAGGAUGAUCCGCCACACUGGGACUGAGACACGGCCCAGACUCCUACGGGAGGCAGCAGUGGGGAAUUUUGGACAAUGGGGGCAACCCUGAUCCAGCCAUGCCGCGUGUAUGAAGAAGGCCUUAGGGUUGUAAAGUACUUUUGUUAGGGAAGAAAAGUCAGCUGUGAAUAAUGGCUGAUACUGACGGUACCUAAAGAAUAAGCACCGGCUAACUACGUG